rnacentral:rRNA from 1 species
UUCGGGGUACACGAGCGGCGAACGGGUGAGUAACACGUGGGUGAUCUGCCUUGCACUUCGGGAUAAGCCUGGGAAACCGGGUCUAAUACCGGAUAUGACCACGAGAUGCAUGUCUUGUGGUGGAAAGAUUUAUCGGUGCGAGAUGGGCCCGCGGCCUAUCAGCUUGUUGGUGAGGUAACGGCUCACCAAGGCGACGACGGGUAGCCGACCUGAGAGGGUGACCGGCCACACUGGGACUGAGACACGGCCCAGACUCCUACGGGAGGCAGCAGUGGGGAAUAUUGCACAAUGGGCGAAAGCCUGAUGCAGCGACGCCGCGUGCGGGAUGACGGCCUUCGGGUUGUAAACCGCUUUUGACAGGGACGAAGCGCAAGUGACUGUACCUGUAGAAUAAGGACCGGCCAACUACGUGCCAGCAGCCGCGGUAAUACGUAGGGUCCGAGCGUUGUCCGGAAUUACUGGGCGUAAAGAGCUUGUAGGCGGUUCGUCGCGUCGUUUGUGAAAACUUGGGGCUCAACCUUAAGCUUGCAGGCGAUACGGGCGGACUAGAGUACUUCAGGGGAGACUGGAAUUCCUGGUGUAGCGGUGAAAUGCGCAGAUAUCAGGAGGAACACCGGUGGCGAAGGCGGGUCUCUGGGAAGUAACUGACGCUGAGAAGCGAAAGCAUGGGUAGCAAACAGGAUUAGAUACCCUGGUAGUCCAUGCCGUAAACGGUGGGUACUAGGUGUGGGGCUCCUUCCACGGACUCCGUGCCGUAGCUAACGCAUUAAGUACCCCGCCUGGGGAGUACGGCCGCAAGGCUAAAACUCAAAGAAAUUGACGGGGGCCCGCACAAGCGGCGGAGCAUGUGGAUUAAUUCGAUGCAACGCGAAGAACCUUACCUGGGUUUGACAUACACCGGAAACCUGCAGAGAUGUAGGCCCCCUUGUGGUCGGUGUACAGGUGGUGCAUGGCUGUCGUCAGCUCGUGUCGUGAGAUGUUGGGUUAAGUCCCGCAACGAGCGCAACCCUUAUCUUAUGUUGCCAGCGCGUAAUGGCGGGGACUCGUGAGAGACUGCCGGGGUCAACUCGGAGGAAGGUGGGGACGACGUCAAGUCAUCAUGCCCCUUAUGUCCAGGGCUUCACACAUGCUACAAUGGCCGGUACAGAGGGCUGCGAUACCGCGAGGUGGAGCGAAUCCCUUAAAGCCGGUCUCAGUUCGGAUCGGGGUCUGCAACUCGACCCCGUGAAGUUGGAGUCGCUAGUAAUCGCAGAUCAGCAACGCUGCGGUGAAUACGUUCCCGGGCCUUGUACACACCGCCCGUCACGUCANAAAGUCGGUAACACCCGAAGCCGG